rnacentral:tRNA from 1 species
CAUUAGUUUAGUGGUAAAAUAUCUGCCUUCCAUCACUAGGGAGCUGAGCAGAUGUCCCGAGUUCGAUUCCCGGAUG